rnacentral:lncRNA from 1 species
AUGCUCUACCACACAAUUGCACUCAUCUCACAUGCUAGUAAAGUAAUGCUCAAAAUUCUCCAAGCCAGGCUUCAACAAUACAUGAACCGUGAACUUCCUGAUGUUCAAGCUGGUUUUAGAAAAAGCAGAGGAACCAGAGAUCAAAUUGCCAACAUCCGCUGGAUCAUGGAAAAAGCAAGAGAGUUCCAGAAAAACAUCUAUUUCUGCUUUAUUGACUAUGCCAAAGCCUUUGACUGUGUGGAUCACAAUACACUGUGGAAAAUUCUGAAAGAGAUGGGAAUACCAGACCACCUGACCUGCCUCUUGAGAAAUCUGUAUGCAGGUCAGGAAGCAACAGUUAGAACUGGACAUGGAACAACAGACUGGUUCCAAAUAGGAAAAGGAGUACGUCAAGGCUGUAUAUUGUCACCCUGCUUAUUUAACUUCUAUGCAGAGUACAUCAUGAGAAACACUGGACUGGAAGAAACACAAGCUGGAAUCAAGAUUGCCAGGAGAAAUAUCAAUAACCUCAGAUAUGCAGAUGACACCAUCCUUAUGGCUGAAAAUGAAGAGGAACUAAAAAGCCUCUUGAUGAAAGUGAAAGAGGAGAGUGAAACAGUUGGCUUAAAGCUCAACAUUCAGAAAACAAAGAUCAUGGCAUCCGGUCCCAUCACUCCAUGGGAAAUAGAUGGGGAAACAGUGGAAACAGUGUCAGACUUUAUUUUUUUGGGCUCCAAAAUCACUGCAGAUGGUGACUGCAGUCAUGAAAUUAAAAGAUGCUUACUCCUUGGAAGAAAAGUUUUGACCAACCUAGAUAGCAUAUUCAAAAGCAGAGACAUUACUUUGCUGACUAAGGUCUGUCUAGUCAAGGCUAUGGUUUUUCCAGUGGUCAUGUGUGGAUGUGAGUGUUGGACUGUGAAGAAGGCUGAGAGCCAAAAAAUUGAUGCUUUUGAACUGUGGUGUUGGAAAAGACUCUUGAGAGUCCCUUGGACUGCAAGGAGAUCCAACCAGUCCAUUCUGAAGGAGAUCAGCCCUGGGAUAUCUUUGGAAGGAUUGAUGCUAAAGCUGAAACUCCAGUACUUUGGCCACCUCAUGCGAAGAGUUGACUCAUUGGAAAAGACUCUGAUGCUGGGAGGGAUUGGGGCAGGAGGAGAAGGGGACGACAGAGGAUGA